rnacentral:lncRNA from 1 species
CUCAUGAAGAUCGAAGGAGCGAAAUAUCUACGACACCCUCCACCGUGAAGGUGUUGUCGAGGAACCGUGAUCAAAAGAAGUAUUGUCGGUUCCAUCGUGAUCACGAUCACGAUAUUGAAUAAUGCAUUCAGCUCGGAGAUGAGAUAGAAGCCUUGAUUCGAUGAGGCUACCUCGACAAAUACUGAAGAGAUCCACUGACUCAACCUCCUGCUG